CAGCUUACCCAUACUAACAGCACAAAAACACACGUAAAACAAAGCUAAUGUCACUUUAAAUAUGAUCUCUAAUAUGCGAGUAUUUGUAUUUUUUUUUUUUAACUUAUCAGUUGUGUAGAUGUAGUUGAUUACAGACAGUACAACGAAACUGCCUCCACUUUAACGCUUUUAAAUCACUGCUCUUAAAGCUCAUUACAGCUUUGUUUGUCUAUUUUUAGGUGACAUGGCGCACCUGCUGCGCACUCCUAGACUUUAAUAGUCUGUAUCUGAUGACUGCACACUGUGCCAAAGUACUAUGACGCGCCACAACAUUUGCGCUCGUUUUUGGAAUGACUGCUUUUGAGUGAAUGUAGGCGGUCAAGUAGAAGCAAUUACCAUAAAGAGAACAGCAGAAAAGCAGCUCAGACAUCAUACACCCUGGGUCUGUCAAAAGUAGUUACCCCCUCACGUCAUCACGUCCUCGGUUCACCUUCAGGGCAACGACGUAAUGCGCAUUUCAGUAAUCAAUACAAACGGCCGAGUAAUUAUCUAACUUACCUCUGAAGCUGAUAUCAGAUGCGUGCAUUCAGUCGAAGGUCUGAGCUGCCAACUUAUGCAGUUUGUUUAGAGAAACUAGGAAGCAUUUUGUAGCUGUUGUCUGGUUGCCUCUGUACCCCUCCUCUCUCACACAUCUGGUCCCCAAACUAAAGGAGGACCUCCCAUUCAGGCAGUUUCGGCUGGACUCUGCGGCACCCACUUCUCCUCAAAGGAUUUACAGAGGAUGUUCCAAAAACAUUGCUGUCAGAGGAGAAUGGUCACAACAUGCACAACUGCACAACAUGUCAAACCUUGAAGCAGAUGGGCUCCAGCAGAAGAUCAUCCUGGAUGGCACACCUGUCAGCUAAGAACAGGAACCUGAUGCUCCAAUUUGGAUUGCCCCAUCAAAAUUAAACAACAGAAGAUUACAAAAAUAUAGCCUAUUUGAUGAGUCUUAAUUUCUGCUGUAACAUUUAGAUGUGGUGGUCAGAAGUUGGUGUAAAAACAUGAAAGCAUGGAUCUAUCCUCCUUUGUAUCAAUGGCUCAGGCUGCUGGUGGUGGUGGUGUAAUAGUGUGGUGGCUGUUUUCUUAGCAGGCUUUGGAUGUUUUAGUACCAUCUGAGCACUGUUUAAGCACCACAGCGCACCUUAGUAUUAUUGCUGACCAUGUUCAUCCAUUUAUGACCAUUUAUUCACCACCACCUUAAAUAUGCGCUACAAAGAAUUAAGACUGUCCUGAAGGUAAAAGGGGAAUCCAACCCAGCACUAGAAAGCUGUACCUAAUGAAAUGGCAGUGAGUGUAUGUGGAUCUCUUUUAUAUUACGAUAUAUUGCUGAUAAUACCUACUGCAAGUAUGCCAAACAGCUCUUAUUAGCAACUUCUCUUUCUU
rnacentral:lncRNA from 1 species